GAGUAUUAGAGAAGUCAAUAGUCUUGUUGAAAUAGUUUUGGUUACUUAUUUCCAUCAUCUUCUUUUUCAGCAUAUUUUGUGAUUAUGUCGAAUUUGUACGGAGGGGGGCUUUCGGCGGCAACAAAGUCGACUACGUCUUCAAAACCGACUCUGCGCCAUCGGAGUUGAGUUCCAGACUCGGACAGUUGAGAUCGAUUGUCAAGCCCAGAUUUGGGACACUGCUUGCUGGCCAAGAAAGCUUACUUUAUUCCGUUGCUAUUUUCAAUUCUCUAUUCAUUUUUAUAUCUAAUAGUUGGGUCAUCAAAAAUGCAGAAUAAUUAUUGUAGGAUUUCGAGCUCCUAGAAUGAAUUAGCAUCGAAUUAUCUAGAUAUAGGGCAGUCACCAGUGCCUAUUACAGAGGAGCCUUGGGGGCAAUCCUCAUUUACGAUAUCACCAACCGUCAAUCAUUUGACCAUAUGGCUAGGUGGCUUGCGGGGACAACAUGCUGAUAGGAAUAUAUUCAUUAUGCUCGUAGGCAACAAAUCUGACCUGGAAACACACAGAGAUGUAGCAACUGAAGAUGCUAAAGAGUUUGCCGAGAUGGAGAACCUAUACUUUAUGGAAACAUCAGCACUUGAGGCAACAAAUGUUGAAGAAGCUUUCCUGACUGAGAUUUAUCGUGUCAUCACCAAGAAAUCGCUCAUUGCUAACGAAGCAGAAUCUGGAGGAAAUUAAUCGCUUCUUCAGGGUACCAAGAUUGUCGUUCCUGGACAGGAACCUAUGCCUACUGCAAGCAACUUUAGCUGUUGUAGAACAUCAUAGUCUAAUCCUUCAUCUUGGUAGUUUUCAAGUAAAAAAUGCUGUCUGUAACGUUAUCUUCCUCGUGAAUCAUAUAUAACAGGCCUUGUUUUAUUGAAA